rnacentral:rRNA from 1 species
AUUGAACGCUGGCGGCAUGCCUUACACAUGCAAGUCGAACGGUAACGGGCCUUCGGGUGCCGACGAGUGGCGAACGGGUGAGUAAUGCAUCGGAACGUACCUUUCAGUGGGGGAUAACGUAGCGAAAGUUACGCUAAUACCGCAUAUUCUGUGAGCAGGAAAGCAGGGGAUCGCAAGACCUUGCGCUGAUUGAGCGGCCGAUGUCAGAUUAGCUAGUUGGUGAGGUAAAGGCUCACCAAGGCGACGAUCUGUAGCGGGUCUGAGAGGAUGAUCCGCCACACUGGAGCUGAGGCAAGGUCCAGACUCGUACGGGAGGCAGCAGUGGGGAAUUUUGGACAGUGGGGGCAACCCUGAUCCAGCCAUGCCGCGUGAGUGAAGAAGGCCUUCGGGUUGUAAAGCUCUUUCGGUCGGGAAGAAAUCGCAUGGGUUAAUACCCUGUGCGGAUGACGGUACCGGCAUAAGAAGCACCGGCUAACUACGUGCCAGCCGCCGCGGUAAAAC